rnacentral:lncRNA from 1 species
GUUCUGACCUCUGUCCUGGCAUCCCGAAGGGUCUGAUGAUGUUUGCUGGAUGUGUGGCAGCUCCAGGGCUCGGCUGCCUCUUUUUGGUUAUUUGGUUUCUUGUUCCUCCCAGUGACUGAAAACCCCUCCCUCCCUGGCUUUUUAUAGAAGCUAAGAAAAGAGCUUAUUUUGUGACUGCAUCCGGACCUUGAGUUCUUUGGCUCUUGUGUGAGUGGAUGGUGACACCAGGCCAGCUGGGGAUUCUUCCCAGGCUGGGCUCACAGGCUGGGGCUGGGCACACGGAGCAGCUGCGGGAAAAGGAUCUGGACACCAGCCCCCCAGCGUGUCACCGGCAGGAAGGUGAGGUGGGAACAGAGUGACGUCCAUGCAUGUUCAGAGACAAGGUUUCCCUACGUUGCCCAGACUGGUCUUGAACUCCUAGCCUCAAGCAGUCCUUCUGCCUCAGCCUCCCAAUGUGCUGGGAUUACAGGCAUGAGCCACUGCACUUGACCAAGGGUAAAUAUUUUCUGACUAAGCCAGUGGAUCACAAACAUCCUGGAGAGCAGUGACUCUGUGAUUCCAUCACAAGAAUAUGAAGGACUGAGAAGAUCUCCAGCUCUGCCCAUUGCACCUUCCCAUUGAGAAGCAGCAUGGCACCCUGGUGGCAGGGGCUGAUACUCAGCCGGGCCAGGGUGCUCUCCUGUUAACCAUAACCAAGCUCACAGGACAUGGGAUGAGCCCACUGUGUGACACAGGGAGCGGGACACAGUCUGUUAAGUCUUGCACAGCCAUGCUCUGCCACGCAGGCAGGCCUUUCCUUGGCCUCCCUCUCCCUGUUCGUGCUCAUGUGAACAUCCACCUACGUGGAUAGACUGGGCUUUGGUUCAUUAUUGCUCUGUGAAUUCCUCGAACUUCCGCAUCUGCCCAACCUCCCCCACCCCAUUGUUUUCAUUGUGUUUCACCAAAUGGAAAUUCUAGAGUAAGCAUGUGAGUCCUCUCCCAAACUUGUUCACUGUUGAGAGUGCUAAAAUGCUAACCCCAGAUGCUAACUGAGGGGUAGGGUUACCUUAUCUUUAGAGCACUGCGAAUUGUAUGUUAAGUGGAACUUAAUGAAAAAAUAGUUAAUUGACCAACAUGAAUAUCCCCUGAACAGAAUCUCCCCUGAACAGAAUCCUACAAUGAAACUAAGGGAGAUAAAUAAAGCUGUUUACCUGAAAGCUCUCUCUAAUCAAGAUCCUUUGAAAUUUAUAAAACAUGGUCAAUAUUUGCACUGGACUUUGUAAAAAUAAAGCUUGAUAAGAGAAGAGUUUGAAGUGAAAUGCUGCCACUUUCUAUGCAAUAUUUGAUUUAAAUUUAAUUCCUAGAAACCUCAGAUGAAUGUGGUUCAUGUAUCAAAGCACUCAGCAUUAUUUAUCGCGGCCUUAAAUACACAGUGAGCUUACAUGUGAAUGAAUACAUAUAUUAUGUAUCUCUCUCUAUAUAUAUACUAUAUAGAUAAUAUAGUAUAUAUAUAUAUAUAGUGUAUAUAUACACUAUAUAUAUCGUGUAUACAUAUACUAUCUAUAUAGUAUAUAUGUAUAUGGUAUAUAUAUCUAUCUAUAGAUAGAUAGAUAGAUAUACUUAAAAAAACCCCAUUCCCUUAAGAGCAGUUAAGGGACACCAUAUAUCAAAUUUCUUGGCACGUUGUGAAUAUUAAUAUCCCCAAAGUGUCAAUGUCAAAUGAUUUGACUUGAAAUCACUAAGCUUGGUAAUCUCACUAUUUUUAAACAAGGCCUAACAUCUUUUAAUCUUGAAUACCAGCAAGUUCUCAGACUUCAGUUGUUUAUUUUCUCUUUUCUUUCCUUUAAAAAAUUCUGACAAGCUCUUUUCCUUGACACAAAGAAAGCGUAUAAAUUUUAUUUUGGUUUGAACAACAGAAAUUUGCCUCUCAGAAUUCUGGAGAUUGGAAAGUCUAAGGACUAAGCUGCUGGCCAAUUUAGUUCUUAGUGAGGACUCUCUUCCUGGCUUGUAGAUGGCUGCCUUCUCACUGCAUCCUCAGAGAGAGAGAGAGAGAGGGCUCUUGUGUCUCUUCCUUUCUCAUAAAGCGUCAGCUCUCUUGUAUUAGGGUCCCACCCAUAAUUACCCCCUUAUAUGCCCCAUCUACAAAUAGAGUCACAUUGUGGGUUAGAGCUUGGCAGUGAAUAAUUAUGGAGGUUAUUGUUGGCUUUAGAAUUUCGUGGUAGAAACAAUAAAUUGCCUUUGUGUUUACGUUUUAUUUUAUUUUUUUAACAUUAACAUGUAUUUGCAACAAUGAAAACAGCAGGUGAAUACAUUCUGGGUAGGGGAAAAAGUUAGAGGAGUGCUAUCCAGAAGUUAUAUUUCCUAGGAAUAUGGGGAAUAAAACAUUCAAUAUUGGUGGUUCUAAUAGAUGAAUUAAAUUUAAUUUGAUGUGGAGUGGCCAUGUCCCCUGUCUCGGGAUGCCGUGUGAAGCCUGGCUCUUGUGACAGCUGUUUAGAUUUGCUGAAAGAUGUUUUAAGUGUCCUAGGAAAGAGGUUUCCAUUCAUUCUAGAACUGAUAGUUUUCUCUUAAAGUGUUAAUUUACAUUUUAAUGUUGAUGUGGUAUCCAUCUCAGGUUAAUGUUUGGCACUAGGUAAUUGAAUUUUUAAAAAUCUCAUUUUAUUUUCUGUCUGCUUUUGGGAGAGAGAAGUGGUUAGGUUUUUAUUACAGGAAGGAUUUUUCUCUUUCUCUAUUAUAAUACCUGAAAGCAAAUAUAUAUAAGCUAUACAUGAAGUCAUUACAAUUCUUUUUUCUCAUUUUAUUUUCACUUUUGGGAAAGAUUGCUGCCAAUAUUUGUGAGAUCUCUUUUCAGUUCUAUCUUUUACUUCUGCAUGUCCGUUAUCUUAGCCAUGCAAUGUUUAGUUUGAGGCAGUUUCACCCAAGGGACAUACCUUAGAAUAGACUCUCAUGGCCAGUAAUGAAUGACUGAUGGAGGGAACAGCAGUUUAUAGGUUUUUUGUUGUUUUUAAGGAGAAAAAUUAACACCCUUCAUCAAACCUCCUCUUUCUUCCUUCUCUCCUCCCCUCCAUCUCACCCUGCCUCCCCUUGGGAUCUUACUCCUGUGAUUAGUUUGGGUUCCACACAAAGAAAGAUUUAUUACUUUAAUGUCUUUGUGAUUUAGUUUUAUGUGAUCUUCCUAGGGACACCAGGGAGUACACGCUCCCCUUUCUGAAUAUGUUGUAAGCUCCUUUGAGGCAAAAAUGAAUGUUCCUGUGUUACAAGAACAGAGCAGCCCUUAUCAUCUUCUCGAAUCUUAUCUUUCUGAGUUAAACAUUUGGCAUCAGUGACGAAGUAAGACCAGACAUUGAGGAUGAGACGUCAAAUCCAAGUUUGUAGAAAACACACAGUUGAUGCAUCUCACAUCUCUCAAAUUCUUCUCUGUGGACUCUAUGCUUACUGUUCCUGAAGAUGUUCACCAAAUGGGACCAAACCUCCAAAAAAGGAGAAUUUUAAUUUCUUCUUACCCUACUUAGAUGCUGGAUUGCAUAAUGUGGUUGUAAUCUUUAACUAUUUUUUUAAAAAAUAUUUGAGAUUAAAAAAUACUUAGAGGGGCAAUAGUUAGGGCAGGGGAGUGUUCAGUCCCUUUAUGAAGAUGUUUUUUGGCUGGGCUAGCACCUCGGCCUUGUGUUGAAGGAGUGAGAAGUAACUUGUACCACCGGCCACAGCUCUAGCUUGUGUUGGAAGUUUUGCAGAGUUGUUGAUCCUCUGCCAAGUAGACCAGUGAUUCCACCUAAAUGGGUAAGUUGGUUUUAUCAUCCAUUAUUCCACGGAGGUGUAUAUUGGCUCAGGUUGAAAUGUUGUUGAUAUCCACUUUGCACUCUGAGCAAGCCCGCCACAUUCAUGAUUGGAUUGAUUGGUGUCUCACAAGAACUCCAGAGACACACCAUCUCUCCUGUUUGGCAGGUGAUGAACCUGAGGCUCAAAAUGAACAAGUGACUUCCCAAGGCCAAUGAUAAGCACUAGACCAUUAAUUUCUUCUUUAGAUGUCAAGUCCUUUCCAUUCUGCACUGGCACAGACAUCUCAAGUUGAGGCCUAUAAGCAAACACCUAUGUCCUAACCAAAAGACUAGGAUUCCCAAAGAAAUUAUACAAGAUGAUUUAAAUUUCCUGGACCUUUCCUUUUAUGGUGUGCCUAUCAGUUAGGAUUCUUUACAAAUAACAGAUAACCCAAAUCAAAAUGCUUAAGCAAAAAACAUGAUUUUUUAAAAAUCUCAUGUAGCUGAAAGUACAGAGUAGGGCAGAUAUCAGAGUUGAUUGAUUCAGAGGCCAGAUGAUGUCAUCAAGACCUGCAUUCUGCAGUCACGCUUCGUCUGAAAGCUGGGUCCCUUGUUUUCUGGGAAGAAUUCAGGACAAUUCGCAGACGGAGAGCAUUUUCCCAAGCAACAAUUUUGAGAGGAACCCUGAUCAGAUGGUUUAUGUAAAACGACCAGAUGCUGUGGCCAGGGAAGGAAAGAUGCUGCCCUGGUCACCCCUGGCAUCAUGUAGUGUCAGCCUUCCCCAUAGCCCAUGGAGCAGGGGAGGAUAAUGGGAUAAAAAUCCACAUGGCCUCUUUAAGGAGAAGCGGGUGGGAAGGUGAACACUGGAUAGUAAACUAAUAACGGCCAUCCGGUGUUCACAUGCUACAGACAUCAAAGCCUAAUUCUCUUCGUUUUCAGAUAGAAUCUUCAACUCGGAGGCACCAGUCUCUCUCACUUGAGGAAAGAAUGCGAAGGAAGGAAUGGCCUGACUUCCUCAUGUGUGCCCUGUUUCUCGGUAGGCACCAUGUGGGGGCUGCCACACAUGUGCCGAAGCUUUGGGAACGUUCCGUUUAAAUACCAAUUUCGAUGCCAAUGCCUAACAUGGAGCACAAAUAUCCAGAGGUAGAAGCUGAGAACAAGGAUGAAGGAAGAAUCAAUGAUGAUUGGGAGAUACUGAGCCUGAGUGAAGGAGGAGAUGGAAAUUAUCACUGGCAGGAGCCGGGAGUGAUGUGAGGGGUUGAUGAGUGAA